CAGCAGCCGCGGUAAUACGUAGGUGGCAAGCGUUGUCCGGAAUUAUUGGGCGUAAAGGGCUCGCAGGCGGUUCCUUAAGUCUGAUGUUAAAGCCCCCGGCUCAACCGGGGAGGGUCAUUGGAAACUGGGAAACUUGAGUGCAGAAGAGGAGAGUGGAAUUCCACGUGUAGCGGUGAAAUGCGUAGAGAUGUGGAGGAACACCAGUGGCGAAGGCGACUCUCUGGUCUGUAACUGACGCUGAGGAGCGAAAGCGUGGGGAGCGAACAGGAUUAGAUACCCCGGUAGUCCCUGUCUCUUAUAC
rnacentral:rRNA from 1 species